GCUCAGAAUGAACGCUGGCGGCAUGCCUAACACAUGCAAGUCGAACGAGACCUUCGGGUCUAGUGGCGCACGGGUGCGUAACGCGUGGGAAUCUGCCCCUUGGUUCGGAAUAACAGCGAGAAAUUGCUGCUAAUACCGGAUAAUGACGUGAGUCCAAAGAUUUAUCGCCUAGGGAUGAGCCCGCGUAGGAUUAGCUAGUUGGUGUGGUAAAGGCGCACCAAGGCGACGAUCCUUAGCUGGUCUGAGAGGAUGAUCAGCCACACUGGGACUGAGACACGGCCCAGACUCCUACGGGAGGCAGCAGUGGGGAAUAUUGGACAAUGGGCGAAAGCCUGAUCCAGCAAUGCCGCGUGAGUGAUGAAGGCCUUAGGGUUGUAAAGCUCUUUUACCCGGGAUGAUAAUGACAG
rnacentral:rRNA from 1 species